rnacentral:rRNA from 1 species
UACGUAGGGUGCAGGCGUUAAUCGGAAUUACUGGGCGUAAAGCGUGCGCAGGCGGUUUGCUAAGUCAGGUGUGAAAUCCCCGGGCUUAACCUGGGAACUGCGCUUGUAACUGGCAAGCUUGAGUGUGGCAGAGGGGGGUGGAAUUCCACGUGUAGCAGUGAAAUGCGUAGAGAUGUGGAGGAACACCGAUGGCGAAGGCAGCCCCCUGGGCUGACACUGACGCUCAUGCGCGAAAGCGUGGGGAGCAAACAGG